rnacentral:lncRNA from 7 species
ACCAUCUUCUCUGAGCUUGCAUUAAUGAGCAAGCAGCUCAAACCCUGUUAGUGAUCUGUAACAGAAGGCAGCUUCUGUUUUCCAUCUUUCUCAUACAGGGAGUCACUUCAUUUGAAAUUAGAACUUUCAGUUGCUUUGCUUCAAGAGAAUUUGUGUGUAAGCAGGGCUUGAGCAGCAUGUAAAACUAGCAGUCAGCCUCUCCAGGUGAAGAAAUCUCAGCACAGAGAGCCAUCGCAGCUUUCCGUGGGCACUACGCAUGUUUGCUCUGAUAAACAAGGAGCGGUUGUCAUUGGGAGACUGCAAGCAAAUAUCAGCAGGAGCUGCACAUGUGAUGUUCGUUCUUGGAAGGCUGAUCAGCCUCACUGUAACAAACACGUCUUUAUCAGACCUUCCAUCUAGAGAAUAACAUGACCUCUCUGUGGUGAAGAUGUCAGUUUAGGUUAGAGGGAAACAAACAAAAGACAACACAAGAAGAGCUCUGGCUUUCUGGGUCAUCUGCAGAUGCUCACAAACUCUCCCGGGCUCCUUCCCGCAGCUUCAGGAGCAGCAGUGCAAAGCUGGUGAUGGCACAUUGAUGAAUCAGGCCUAUCUCAUUCUGCAGUAGGAAUGACAUCCCCACGGAGCAGGAAAAUGAAACCACCUGCAAGCCUUGCAACACCUCCGUUUAAAGGAAGGUUUUCUGCACCUAGGAGGAGUUGGAAAAGAAAGAGGGAGGAAGUUGGUCCAUGGCAGAUAAGCAGACAAGCUGAUGUUCUUCCCAAGCGCAAUCUCUAUCUUUCAUCCCUCCCACUCCUACACUGAGAUACAUACACACUUCACUGCCAUCCCCUUUAAAGCAUGGGGAGCUUGUGGUCUUACUGAGAUGGCACCUGAGAAGUUUUUCACAUGUGCCCUUUUUGGGUGAUAUUGAGGAUAAUGCAGUGUGUGAAUGGUUGAGCUGGAACCAUUGGGAACGUAUGGGUAGGGAUGAAGGCUGAGAGCCCAGUGAUUUUACUCGUUCACCUCUUUGUCAGGUACUUUCCUCAGAGGAAAUCAUUCAGCUUCCUGUGUCUUUACUGUAAAUUACAUGCUGUGGAGAGGAAAGAGAGAGCAAGACAGACAGACAGGAAAAAAAAGGCACAGCGCAGGGGUGGUUCCAGGGCAGACCAUCCCUUCUGCCGGCACUUCUGCAUCUCCCAUGGCCUGAGGUUGUGCAGAAGGGGUUACAGACAGCAGCUAACCCCAGAUUUUGUCCACUGCUUAAAGUGAAACUGCUUUAAGACUGAAAGUGCUCGCUUCCUCCCCGCCCUUCCCCUGCCUCUUUACUUUUACUUUACUGGCUGCCUUGCCCUUCUAUUUCUGUAUCUGGCAGAGAGAGAGAGAAGCAAUGUGUUUGGUCCGAGUGGAAGGAACGAUUCCUGCCUGUGUCACUAGAGAGCAGAAUUAUCCACAUGUAUUCCUGAGGAGAAUUUCCACUUCUUCAUCAAACCCACUGCACAGCGUUGGGCUUUGGGAAGGGCUGGGACUUUUUUAUUUAAUAAGACAUUGCAGGUUUCAAUGCAAACAGGAUGCUGAUUGCAAAGAGGGCAUUUAGCCAAAAACGUUAUCUUCCCUAGAAAAAAAAGGGUUUGAAGGGAAAUUUUGAAGCCCCCACAGAGUAGUUUCUAGCCCAUUAUGACAGAUCCACAAAGUGCAACUGGCUGAGAUAAACUGAAAAAAUUCCAAUCCUAUUCUGGGUAUGUGUGUACCCUGAACCAGUUGACUUUUCUGUAGCGAACGCGUGGCGCCACGGGUGGUGGGCAUG